AUUGAACGCUGGCGGCAGGCCUAACACAUGCAAGUCGAACGAGUGGCGGACGGGUGAGUAAUGUCUGGGAAACUGCCUGCUGGAGGGGGAUAACUACUGGAAACGGUAGCUAAUACCGCAUACCAUCGGAUGUGCCCAGAUGGGAUUAGCUAGUAGGUGGGGUAAAGGCUCACCUAGGCGACGCUCCCUAGCUGGUCUGAGAGGAUGACCAGCGACACUGGAACUGGGGCACGGUCCAGAGUGCUAGGGGAGGCAGCAGUGGGGAAGAGUGCACAGUGGGGGGAAGCGUGAUGCAGCCAUGCCGCGGGUAUGAGGAAGGCCUUGGGGUUGUAAAGUACUUGCAGCGGGGAGGCGUUACCCGCAGAAGAAGCACCGGCUAACUCCGUGCCAGCAGGCGCGGUAAUUC
rnacentral:rRNA from 1 species